AACGAACGCUGGCGGCAUGCCUAACACAUGCAAGUCGAACGAGACCUUCGGGUCUAGUGGCGCACGGGUGCGUAACGCGUUGGAACCUGCCCUUAGGUUCGGAAUAACUCCCCUAAAGGGGUGCUAAUACCGGAUAAUGUCUUCGUUCCAAAGAUUUAUCGCCUUUGGAUGGGCCGUCGUUGGAUUAGCUAGUUUGUAGGGUAAAAGCCUACCAAGGAGACGAUCCAUAGCUGGUAUGAGAGGAUGAUCAGCCACACUGGGACUGAGACACGGCACAGAAUAAUAGGGGAGGAAGGAGUGGAGAAUAUAGGAAAAUGGGCGAAAGCAUGAUGCAGCAAUGACGCGUGAGUGAUGAAGGCCUUAGGGUUGUAAAGCUCUGUUACACGGGAUGAUAAUGACAGUACCGGGAGAAUAAGCUCCGGCUAACUACGUG
rnacentral:rRNA from 1 species